UUUUUUUUUUUUUUUUUCCAAAUCAGUGCAAUAUAACAUGAAAGUACUGCUGUACCAUAUAGGUCACCACAGAGAAUUGUGAAUCAUCCAUCUCUUCUACAUAUUCGAUGGUGCUCAGGUUGGUAAACUUCCAUUCUCCGUCAGUUAGGAAGUAAGUCUGGCUGCUUUUCUUCAUCUCAGCUGGUGUCCGUCUCAGCGUCAUGACAAGGUCCGUUACUGCUUGGGCAGAUGGGAGAGAAGGAGAGAUGUUGCAGCAGUUCAGAGUUCUAUCAGAGCCCCGUUGUGAUAAAACGUAGCUUGCCACCAUACCUGGAUAGAGAAAUGAAGCCAGGCUAAUGUUGCACGUCUGGGUGUCAAACGGAAACUUGAGGAUCUUCAAGCUGCACAUGGUGGUAACCUGGAAGGUCAAGCUUGUGUUGAAGCUGCCAUUGUGCGUGACAUCCGAGUACUCCAGUUUGUUCGACUUCUGUUCGUUGACUCUGGAGGAAUCAAGGGGUGAAGAGCAUCAUAGCUCCAAGGUGCUGCAACGCUCCUCAAUCGGCAAAAGCUUGGGCUGUAAGCGUCCCGUUGGGGUUGCUCUGCGUGGUCACCCAGCCGCGACGUGUAGCAGGAGGGCAACGAGGGGAGGAGAUGUGGGGCCUGGAGAAGGGCUGGUAAGUGCCUCUGCACUAAGGUUUGCAGUAGCUGAAUCUGCACAGCUCACACGUGGGGCAGCUGCUUUGCUCCCCCUGCACCUCCUACGGAAACUCCUUGCUCUCCCCUUUCCUUCCCACUCUUGCCUGCGGCAAAGGCUCGUUGCUCGGCUCUCUGCUGCGCUGCAGGGCUUCCCCUUCCUCCCCCCCCACACCCAAAGGGUCAGCAGCUGCUCCCAACUCUCUGUCAGAUCCAGAACAGUCUAUUCUGCACCUUCUAAAAAAAUGCUAAAGGUAAUUUCAUCCCACUACAUUGCUGCUCUCUGCUUCCUCAGCUUUCGCUGUAGCCCAUAUGUGGCAUUUCUGGAGAUGUUACAGCAUUACAGAGCCACAAAGUGCUGUGUCUAAACUGCGGUCCCUGUUAUUGCGAGUUAGAGUUAGCUCAUGGGAAUAGCCUUUAAUCAAAUAAAUUUGUCCUGUUUCCUGCAAUACCAUAAAAAGUUUUCACCCAUUGCGUUUCUCUUAAGCCAGCAGAUAAAAAUGAAAUGCGAACCUACACUUCUAAAAUGAAGACUGGGGGGGCCCAGUACGUAUCCAGUGGCAGGACAACUUUGGAAAUGUUACAGAAAUCCUGCGGGUCCCAGGUCACUAAAGUGUUCAUCCACUCCUGGGGGAAGAAAUUGCAGGAGAGAAGUGAGGGCUGGGCUCAGCACCAGCAAUCAUGCUGGUUGUCACAGGACAGAAAUGGUUUCAAAGAACCUACCAAGUUCAACACGAAGUAAAAACUGACAGUCUGGAGCUUUUCAACCUAAAGAAAAGAAACAACAUGCAAGAUAUUUAGCUGAUUUCCUUAGGUAAACGCGAUGCAGAGCUCAGAAGCUGUCACUGCUCAGUGGACAGCACAGAUUGUAGAAACGGCUCAGGAGGAGAGCUGGAGAUCUUGGUGCUACGACUGAGCAGGAAAAUGGGAGCAUAAGAACCAAGAGUUUGAAAACAAUAAAUGGUCAUUAACAUUG